CAGUCGAGCGGAACGAAAGUAGCUUGCUACUAGGCGUCGAGCGGCGGACGGGUGAGUAAUGCUUAGGAAUCUACCGAGUAGUGGGGGAUAGCCAUUGGAAACGAUGAUUAAUACCGCAUAUAUCCUACGGGGGAAAGCAGGGGACCUUCGGGCCUUGCGCUAUUCGAUGAGCCUGAGUGAGAUUAGCUAGUUGGUGGGGUAAAGGCCUACCAAGGCGACGACCUCUAGCUGGUCUGAGAGGAUGAUCAGCCACACUGGGACUGAGACACGGCCCAGACUCCUACGGGAGGCAGCAGUGGGGAAUAUUGCACAAUGGGCGAAAGCCUGAUGCAGCCAUGCCGCGUGUGUGAAGAAGGCCUUCGGGUUGUAAAGCACUUUCAGCGAGGAGGAAAGGUUAGUAGUUAAUAACUGCUAGCUGUGACGUUACUCGCAGAAGAAGCACCGGCUAAUUUAGUGCCAGCAGCCGCGGUAAUACUAAAGGUGCAAGCGUUAAUCGGAAUUACUGGGCGUAAAGCGCGCGUAGGUGGUUUGUUAAGUUGGAUGUGAAAGCCCAGGGCUCAACCUUGGAACUGCAUUCAAAACUGACUCACUAGAGUACGAGAGAGGUUAGUGGAAUUUCCUGUGUAGCGGUGAAAUGCGUAGAGAUGGGAAGGAACACCAGUGGCGAAGGCGACUGACUGGCUCGAUACUGACACUGAGGUGCGAAAGCGUGGGGAGCAAACGGGAUUAGAUACCUCGGUAGUCCACGCCGUAAACGAUGUCUACUAGCCGUUGGAGGACUUGAUCCUUUAGUGGCGCAGCUAACGCGAUAAGUAGACCGCCUGGGGAGUACGGUCGCAAGAUUAAAACUCAAAUGAAUUGACGGGGGCCCGCACAAGCGNNNGAGCAUGUGGUUUAAUUCGAAGCAACGCGAAGAACCUUACCNNNNNNUGACAUCCAGUGU
rnacentral:rRNA from 1 species